AUGAUGAAGUUAAAAUGAAAAUAGUACAAACUUAAACUUUUCUAAUUCAUAAAUAAGAAGGAUAAGGGCGGAUGUAGCCAAG
rnacentral:tRNA from 1 species